rnacentral:tRNA from 1 species
CUAUUUAUAGUGGAGUUACCACUUAUGGCCUCCAGUCAUAAAUACUAAGAUAGA